GCCAGAAUACUUUUUGGAAUGCAAAAUUAUCAAACUUCAAUAAACGAGAGACACCAGUACUUUGUGGUUAGUAAGUAGCGUAUUGAGGACUAAUCAUUGAUCAACGGUUCUCAACUUAGUUUUUCCUAAAAUGUGCUAAAGUGUUAUGAAUUCGUGAUCCGUGUAGGGAAUUUUAUCAUAAUCAUUAGCAACAAUUGCAUUUAAUGUUAUUUUUAUUAUUAUAUUUUGCAGAACAGGAUUUCUUUCCUUUCUGCAAUAUAAUAAUAGCCAUUAUAAAGAAAAAGUUUUAUGAAUAAGUACAUGAUUGGAGAGAAAUAUUUUUGAAUAAAAGAAGACCUCUUGAAAAAUACAUUUAACAUUAUUUAUUUCAUAAUAUUACAUAUAUUUUGAUAUAAAUAAAAAAUCAUGUUACAAAGAAGGCUCAAUUAUUAAUCUCUUUUUGAAGAUAUAUAAUUAUAAAGGAGAUACAGUUAUUUGAUUAACUAGAUAUUUUUACUAUAGAGAGAGAAAGAGAGAGGGGAGAGAGAGAGAGAGAGAGAGAAAGAGAAAGAGAGGGUUUAAAUGAUGAAUAACAAAAAAUUCUAAUCCAAGUAAGGUUAUGAUUUAAGAUAGCGAAUGCGAAAAUGUGGAAAUGGUACAAGGUGAAAUGCAAUUGGCUAGAAGAAAAAGCCGCGACAAAUUUAAAUUACUUACAUCAUCCAGGUUUAUUUCGGAAGU